rnacentral:rRNA from 1 species
GGUUGAUCCUGCCAGUAGUCAUAUGCUUGUCUCAAAGAUUAAGCCAUGCAUGUCUAAGUAUAAACAUCUUUAUACAGUGAAACUGCGUACAGCUCAUUAUAUCAGUUAUUAUUUAUUUGAUGGUACCUUACUACAUGGAUACCCGUAGUAAUUCUAGAGCUAAUACAUGCGUAAAGUCCCGACUUUUUGGAAGGGAUGUAUUUAUUAGAUACAAAAACCAAUGCAGGUCAAACUGCUCUCUUGGUGAUUCAUAGUAACUUUAACGGAUCGCACGGCUUCACGUCGGCGACAG